rnacentral:tRNA from 1 species
GGGGUGGUGGUGCAUUUGGCUAGCACGUAGGUCUCAUAGCUACUGAGUGAUCCUGAGGUCGAGAGUUCGAGCCUCUCUAACCCCA